rnacentral:rRNA from 1 species
GUCUACGGCCAUGCCACCCUGAACGUGCCCCUGAUCUCAUCUGAUCUUGCAAGCUAAGCAGUGUUGGGCCUAGUUAGUACAUGGAUGGGUGAGUUAACUGUCGAAUGGUAGAAU